rnacentral:lncRNA from 1 species
CGAGCCUUACAUGUUGUUCACUACUAUAUUAUCUUCUUUCAUUUUCUUGCCAUUUCUCUUUCUCUUGAAAGGUCCAUCUUCAGCUUUAGAUCAUUUCCCUGCACAAUGUAAACGCUUGGCAAAAAAUUUCAAAAUCAGAGAAACUCAUUCCACAUCAUAAGCAGGCAUAAGAAAGUGGAAGUGCAAAACCUUGAAACAGUCCCUCUGUGUUUUAAAAACAAUGAGGUUCUGUAUAACUGCCAAGUACAGCACUGCCCAAGAAUUCAUCUUUGUCGGCUUUGUAACCCUUUAACUUGGUUACGUUUGCUACUUGACUUAGACGGGGUAGCUAUAAGGUAAAUGAACAUAACAACAAACACUGUGAUCAGUGAUCACCGAAAUGAAUGAUCCAUAUUUCGCCACCAACCCCUGUUACAUGAUCAACACAAUAAGGUAACUAGACUGAAACUAUAUCUAAAGUUAAUAAAGCAAUAUGUAUGUAGCCAAACACACCAUCCGUUUCCUUUAAUGCAUAUCGAUUUUGAAUUGGAAAUAUAAACAGAAUCAAAGGAGAAAGAGAAAACUGACGAGGAUCAAUUGGUUGUAGAUGUCAAUAGAAACCAAAACGUGUUUGACGCGAGAUUUGAGUCUGUUAAGACUCGCAUUCUUUCUUGUGGACAACCAUGAAAGGUACUUCCGUGGUCGCGAAACAAGCUGAGAGAAGCAUAAAGAUCGCCACGCCGGAGACAAUACUUUAGAUGGCUGCGGGGAUCGCCAUGGAAUCUGUUUCAAUUUCAAACAGAUCUACGAUUCCUUUCCUCU